rnacentral:rRNA from 1 species
AGAACCUUACCAAGGCUUGACAUACACCGGAAACGUCUGGAGACAGGCGCCCCCUUGUGGUCGGUGUACAGGUGGUGCAUGGCUGUCGUCAGCUCGUGUCGUGAGAUGUUGGGUUAAGUCCCGCAACGAGCGCAACCCUUGUCCCGUGUUGCCAGCAGGCCCUUGUGGUGCUGGGGACUCACGGGAGACCGCCGGGGUCAACUCGGAGGAAGA